GAUGAAGAACGUAGCGAAAUGCGAUAAGUAAUGUGAAUUGCAGAAUUCAGUGAAUCAUCGAAUCUUUGAACGCACAUUGCGCCCGCCAGUAUUCUGGCGGGCAUGCCUGUCUGAGCGUCAUUUCAACCCUCAUGCCCCUAGGGCGUGGUGUUGGGGAUCGGCCAAAGCCCGCGAGGGACGGCCGGCCCCUAAAUCUAGUGGCGGACCCGUCGUGGCCUCCUCUGCGAAGUAGUGAUAUUCCGCAUCGGAGAGCGAUGAGCCCCUGCCGUUAAACCCCCAACUUUCCAAGGUUGACCUCAGAUCAGGUAGGAAUACCCGCCGAACUUAAGCAUAUCAAUAAGCGGAGGA
rnacentral:misc_RNA from 1 species